GUCCACGCCGUAAACGAUGUCAACUAGCCGUUGGGUUCCUUGAGGACUUAGUGGCGCAGCUAACGCAUUAAGUUGACCGCCUGGGGAGUACGGCCGCAAGGUUAAACUCAAAUGAAUUGACGGGGCCCGCACAAGCGGUGGAGCAUGUGGUUUAAUUCGAAGCAACGCGAAGAACCUUACCAGGCCUUGACAUCUACAGAACUUCCCAGAGAUGGGUUGGUGCCUUCGGGAACUGUAAGACAGGUGCUGCAUGGCUGUCGU
rnacentral:rRNA from 1 species